CGUGCAUCUCCCUAGGUCACGGUCCAGGUACAGGGCAAGGAGGUCCUAUCAGAGAAGAUGGAACCUUCCAGCUUCCAGCCUAGACCUCAAGUCAAGCUUCAGACUCCAGAGGCUGGGUCUGAGACUACCCCAGGGGCCACGCAGGAAUUGCCGCUGGACCUACAAAUGAAAGAGGAGACAGAGUUGAUGGAGAAUCCAGAGCUCCUGGAGUCUGAGCCUCUUUCUGCUGCUCAAGAGGCUGCAGCCACUCUCCUACCUAAGGUGGCCCAGGGCCAUGGGAUAGCACUGGACCAGACCUCUCCUCACAGCGACACUGAACCUGAUGUGCCCCCAUGGAGCGAGGACCCUAUGCCCCUGUGGCAUGAGGAAGUAGAAGGCAUCUUGUCGCCAGUGACCUUGGUGGACACUUCAUCCCUCCAGUAUCCUCUCACACAAACUCACCCUGUAGUCCAUUAUGCUUGAGGCCGGCACCUUGAAGGCUCACUCUGUAGCAAGGACAUACUUCUACAUAGACAACUCCCAUGUCGAUCACAUGUAUGCCAUGUUCAUCUCAUCUCUAACCCCCAAGCCUUCAUGGA
rnacentral:lncRNA from 1 species